GGAUGCACAUUUGUGGUGGCGGA
rnacentral:siRNA from 1 species